ACCGCCGACUCCUGCACUCGCACCUCCUCCACCCCUGCUCUUCCUCACGCACCCGUGCCGCCCCCGCUGUCGCGCCGCCGCCACCACCUCCCCACCAACGGCGCCCCUCCGACGACCAGAUCUUAUCCCUCGCCCGUCGCCGUGCCCCCAUCUCCGGUGACCAGAUCUUCUCCCUUGCCCGUCGUCGUGCCCCCUCAAGCACGUCACGGUCUUCCUCGUGCCCGUGUACAUCCGUGAAGAAGACGAACCGAGAUGCGCCGCCUCAGAUCCACCAUGUGAAGGCAGCGGGAUUUGUUUGUUUGCGGGGGGAUGGAUCAUGGAUCCCAAGGGGAGAGGUGUAGUCCUCCAGAGCUGCUGGAUCGUUCACGCGGGGAAGUGGUUCAACGAUGUGUCCCGUGGAGCCGCUGGAUCUGGUGCUCAACAAUGUCUCGCGCGUCACCGUCGGGGACGCUGCGCUUCCCUGUCGGAGGUUGAUCUCGCCUCGGCCACUAAGGCCCUGUUCGGUAAUCGACUGGCUCCCAGAAUCUACGGAGCUGGAAAACCGAGCUCUCGUAUUUUCAACUGUAGCUCCGUCAGCUCCGCUCCCGGAGCUGCGGAGCAGAGCGUCUCCGAACAGGCACUAAGUCGCAACAGUCUUGGAGCCGUGGACGCAGUCCAGGUCGCUGUCAAAUUCAAGUUCCAAGAGGCUUUUGUGCUGGGGCUGCAGAAUUGGAGCCUUUCAAGGAUUCGACGGUUCAUAUUAGGUGAGUGUGAAUUGGUAGCAUCUCUCUCACGUCAAUUUGGUAGCAGCCUUUGGAUGUCAGGUGGCGGCCAUGGCGCUCGUAGAUACGCUGACGCUCUAAGGAGGCAAAACUCCAGUUUUGGGGGCUUACACCAUCGCCGUUCCUCGGGACUCGGAAGGAGCGUCGUCCAUAGACGAAAGAGGAGGUUGAGAUCUAUGGCGCCUGCUGCAGCGACCACGAGUACCACAUCAAAAAGAAAGACCAAACCAAGCUGCAAUUUCACCUGUAAACUGCUACCCUGCUCCUCUCCCGGCAAGGCACAUCUACCUCUCAUGUGAAGGUUUCUUAGGGUCAUUGUCCAUUAUUGGGUCAUUGUCCAUCACUGCUGCCACUGCUCCUUUGGUUCUUGGUCAUUGCUCUCACAAACGUCUCCUCCCGAGCGACGGGCGCCACCUCCUCGGCUUUGCCAGGGACCUCCUGCCCUGCGCUUACAUGCUGCUCCUGGUCGUCAUAUCCGUUGGUGGGUUAGUAGAUUGGUUUAUAGGGACUAAAUCUUCUGUACACACCAAAAAAAGAAGUGAACGGGAAGAAAUGGACCAAAAAAAAAAAUUGAAGCCUGGAUGUGGAAGUGUUGGCAUCUCUACCAAGCUGCGCAAGCAGAUAGGUGCGCAUGUGUGGCUUGUGGACGAAGCCAAUGUCUAAAAUGCCGAAUCUCCCAAUAAAGUGAUGCAGGAUGACCAUAUUGUGAACUAAGCAGCAAAAUGAGGCCAAGAACCCGAUUGCGUCGUUGCUGGUUGGACAAAUCCCUGGUGAGCAGGUUGUUUGCAACACUUGAGACAAUCAACAAAUCCCUGGUGAGCAGGUUGUUUGCAACACUUGAGACAAUCAAGAAGCUACGCAAUUGUCGUACUGUGCAGUCAGAUGUAUGAAUUCUUAUUCAAAUCAAAUCAGAACUGCAACAACUGCUCGACACCUAAGAGGAACAGAUGGCACAAGCGAGUUAUGAAAGCAGCACUUGCAGGCAUUGACGAGUUGACACAAAGACCUACAUUGGCUUGAAGUCAGAGCAAGGCCUUCAGACUAUGAAAGACAGUUUCUGAUAACCAUCUAUUGAUGUCUCAUAAUCAUUAUGCGUAUGUACUUGCUGAAUAUGUUGUGUCGCGUUUCUAUUAGACUACGUUAUGCCUAAGUCUUUAGAUAUCUAUGUGAAGUGUGAAGUUUAUCGACAAGACAUUUGAAUGGUAGUUAUGUAUCCAUAGUUGUAUUUAUUUUAUUAUGUUCUUGCUUUUAUUACAA